CAGUGGGGAAUUUUGCGCAAUGGGGGAAACCCUGACGCAGCAACGCCGCGUGGGUGAUGAAGGCCUUCGGGUCGUAAAGCCCUGUCGGGAGGGAAGAAAUGAUUGUGAGCUAAUACCUCGUGAUCUUGACGGUACCUCCGAAGGAAGCACCGGCUAACUCCGUGCCAGCAGCCGCGGUAAUACGGAGGGUGCAAGCGUUGUUCGGAAUUAUUGGGCGUAAAGCGCGUGUAGGCGGUCUUUUAAGUCUGAUGUGAAAGCCCCGGGCUCAACCUGGGAAGUGCAUUGGAAACUGGAAGACUUGAGUACGGGAGAGGAGAGUGGAAUUCCUAGUGUAGGAGUGAAAUCCGUAGAUAUUAGGAGGAACACCGGUGGCGAAGGCGGCUCUCUGGACCGAUACUGACGCUGAGACGCGAAAGCGUGGGUAGCAAACAGGAUUAGAUACCCUGGUAGUCCACGCCGUAAACGAUGAGUACUAGGUGUUGCGGGUAUUGACCCCUGCAGUGCCGCAGCUAACGCAUUAAGUACUCCGCCUGGGAAGUACGGUCGCAAGACUAAAACUCAAAG
rnacentral:rRNA from 1 species